GUUCUGAUGUAGCCUACUUACCGCCAAGUGGUUGAUUGGUAUCCUUGAGUACCAGCCCCCGGGGUGCAGCAUUUACUAGUCUCUGGCUAGUGAAUUGUACAUUCAGCAACUAGAUCAGCCUUGGAGAUGAGCUUCUUCAUAUGCUGCCAAGGAAGUCCCGUGAUGUUCACAGAUCAUCUUACAUUGCUCCUGUUUUUGUAAUUUGCUCAAGAAACCUGCAACUCCCAGCAUCCCUCCUCACCUGGACACUCAUCCCUGUGUGGCCGUGGACUCUUU
rnacentral:lncRNA from 1 species